UAGGGCGGGACACGUGUUAUCCUGUCUGAAUAUGGGGGGACCAUCCUCCAAGGCUAAAUACUCCUGAUUGACCGAUAGUGAACCAGUACCGUGAGGGAAAGGCGAAAAGAACCCCGGCGAGGGGAGUGAAAUAGAACCUGAAACCGUGUACGUACAAGCAGUGGGAGCCUUGAUUUAUCAGGGUGACUGCGUACCUUUUGUAUAAUGGGUCAGCGACUUAUAUUCUGUAGCAAGGUUAACCGUAUAGGGGAGCCGUAGGGAAACCGAGUCUUAACUGGGCGAAUGAGUUGCAGGGUAUAGACCCGAAACCCGGUGAUCUAGCCAUGGGCAGGUUGAAGGUUGGGUAACACUAACUGGAGGACCGAACCGACUAAUGUUGAAAAAUUAGCGGAUGACUUGUGGCUGGGGGUGAAAGGCCAAUCAAACCGGGAGAUAGCUGGUUCUCCCCGAAAGCUAUUUAGGUAGCGCCUCGUGAACUCAUCUUCGGGGGUAGAGCACUGUUUCGACUAGGGGGUCAUCCCGACUUACCAACUCGAUGCAAACUACGAAUACCGAAGAAUGUUAUCACGGGAGACACACGGCGGGUGCUAACGUUCGUCGUGAAGAGGGAAACAACCCAGACCGCCAGCUAAGGUCCCAAAGUCAUAGUUAAGUGGGAAACGAAGUGGGAAGGCUCAGACAGCCAGGAUGUUGGCUUAGAAGCAGCCAUCAUUUAAAGAAAGCGUAAUAGCUCACUGGUCGAGUCGGCCUGCGCGGAAGAUGUAACGGGGCUAAACUAUGCACCGAAGCUGCGGCAGCGAUAUGUAAAUAUUGUUGGGUAGGGGAGCGUUCUGUAAGCCUGUGAAGGUGUACUGUGAGGUAUGCUGGAGGUAUCAGAAGUGCGAAUGCUGACAUAAGUAACGAUAAUGCGGGUGAAAAACCCGCACGCCGGAAGACCAAGGGUUCCUGUCCAACGUUAAUCGGGGCAGGGUGAGUCGACCCCUAAGGCGAGGCAGAAAUGCGUAGUCGAUGGGAAACGGGUUAAUAUUCCCGUACUGGUGAUAAUUGCGAUGGGGGGACGGAGAAGGCUAGGCUGGCCGGGCGACGGUUGUCCCGGUUUAAGGAUGUAGGCAGGUGAAUUAGGCAAAUCCGGUUCACUAUAUGCUGAGGUCUGAUGACGAGUCACUACGGUGGCGAAGUAGCUCAUGCCCCGCUUCCAGGAAAAG
rnacentral:rRNA from 1 species